UAACUGUGCAAAGGUGGCAUAAUCAGUAGUUUUUUAAUUGAAGGCUUGUAUGAAGGGUUGGACAAAGAAUAAUCUGUUUCUGGUUUUUUGUUUGAAUUUUACUUUUAAGUGAAAAGGCUUAAAUAUGUUUAAGGGACGAUAAGACCCUAUAAAUCUUUAUACUAAAUUAUUUUUUAAUAAUUAAUUUUAGUAGAUAGUAUAAUAAAAUAAAAAGUAUUUUGUUGGGGGGAUGAAAAUAUAUAAUUAACUGUUUUUAAAUUAAAACAAAGUUGUUUGAAAAGUCUAAUUGAUCCUUUGUAGAGAUUGAAAGUUUAAGUUACUUUAGGGAUAACAGCGUUAUUUUUUUUGAGAGUCCUUAUCGAAAAAAAAGUUUGCGACCUCGAUGUUGAAUUAAAAUUUCUUUAUGGGGCAGAAGCCAGAAAAGAGAGUCUGUUCCACUUUUAAAAUUUUACG
rnacentral:rRNA from 1 species